UACGUAGGGUGCGAGCGUUAAUCGGAAUUACUGGGCGUAAAGCGUGCGCAGGCGGUUCGUUGUGUCGGCGGUAAAAGCCCCGGGCUUAACCUGGGAAUGGCCGUUGAAACUGGCGAACUGGAGUGUGGCAGAGGGGGGUGGAAUUCCGCGUGUAGCAGUGAAAUGCGUAGAGAUGCGGAGGAACACCGAUGGCGAAGGCAGCCCCCUGGGCUAACACUGACGCUCAGGCACGAAAGCGUGGGGAGCAAACAGG
rnacentral:rRNA from 1 species